rfam:Globicatella sp. HMSC072A10 Globicatella_spHMPREF2811-1.0_Cont822.1, whole genome shotgun sequence.
UGGGGUAUAGCCAAGCGGUAAGGCAACGGACUUUGACUCCGUCAUUCGUUGGUUCGAAUCCAGCUACCCCAG